UACGUAGGGUGCAAGCGUUGUCCGGAAUUAUUGGGCGUAAAGAGCUCGUAGGCGGUCUGUCGCGUCGGAUGUGAAAAUCCAGGGCUCAACCCUGGACCUGCAUUCGAUACGGGCAGACUAGAGUUCGGUAGGGGAGACUGGAAUUCCUGGUGUAGCGGUGAAAUGCGCAGAUAUCAGGAGGAACACCGGUGGCGAAGGCGGUUCUCUGGGCCUUACCUGACGCUGAGGAGCGAAAGCAUGGGGAGCAAACAGG
rnacentral:rRNA from 1 species